AUGCUUCUGCAGGUGACAGAUGGCUGUGGGAGGGAUCCCACAUUGAAGCAUGACAAGUGUGACAUACAUGACUGCACAGAUGCUUCAGAUUCCUCCCAAAGCCAUUUUGCUAAUCAUCCUAUGGUCAAGACAAAAUCUGGAAGCCCUCUCCCUGUCUUCAUCCUAGUAAUCUUUCAUCUCAAGGGCUGCCUUUUUUUUUUUUUUUUUUUUUUUUUUUUUUUUUUCAGGCAGCUUGCUACUCCAACUGAUUUACACCCAUUGAGUCGUUUUGUGAAGUUGUUUUUGUUUUGUAUAAAAGCUUUGAGGUCCUAACAAUGGGCAUAGAAGAGCAAAUACUUUACUAUUUUUUUCUGCUGUUGGAGAAACAGGCAUCCAUGCCUGUCUGAAGAUCCUAUUUACUCAGGAGUAAUUGACAAUAAUGGUGAUGUGGAUGGAAAGCAUGUAACAUGUGACUUGUCUUUGUCUGUCAAUCUGUACAUCAGGAGGCAAACGGAAAGAAAAAGCACACUAUGGAUGAGAACAGCACUGGUCUGGGGCCCAAAUAAUUUAGAAGGCAGAGAUAUAGGAAGAAAGCCUGCCAGGAUGGAGCUGAGGCUUCUUGGUAUCCAAAGGAACUUCUGAGCUCUGCUAAUCCUCAGCAGAAGACAAUGUGUUAAGUGGCAGACCAGCAAACCAAGAAGGCGAGCAUAACUAGGUGAACAAAUGACAAUGUCUUGCAGAGCUUGAAGGUCCAUAAUUUGUGAGGCCCCUGGCCCCAUGCACCAUAAAAUUGCUAUGUUUCAUGGCAAACCACCCAUCCCAAAUGCAUUUUUAUAUUCAGAAGACACCUAGAAGAAGAUCCUAAGAGCAAGGCAGAAAAAGACUAUGAAAUCACCACAUGUUUUAAUCCAGAGAGACAGAGCACUAAAUAAAGUGACUCCAAAUGGUUGCUUUAGACUAAUU
rnacentral:lncRNA from 1 species